UAUCUAGCGAAACCACAGCCAAGGGAAUGGGCUUUUCAGAAUCAGCGGGGAAAGAAGACCCUGUUGAGCUUGACUCUAGUCUGGUGCUGUGAAGAGACAUGAGAGGUGUAGAAUAAGUGGGGAAAGAAGAGCCU